CAGCAGCCGCGGUAAUACGAAGGGGGCUAGCGUUGUUCGGAUUAACUGGGCGUAAAGGGCGCGUAGGCGGGUUUCUAAGUCAGAGGUGAAAUCCCAAGGCUCAACCUUGGAACUGCCUUUGAUACUGGAAGUCUUGAGUCCGGGAGAGGUGAGUGGAACUGCGAGUGUAGAGGUGAAAUUCGUAGAUAUUCGGAAGAACACCAGUGGCGAAGGCGGCUCACUGGACGCGUAUUGACGCUGAGGUGCGAAAGCGUGGGGAGCAAACAGGAUUAGAUACCCGCGUAGUCCCUGUCUCUUAUAC
rnacentral:rRNA from 1 species